GUUACAUAAAAGGAAGGAGUAAAGUAACAUAGAACAUUUGUUCUGCAGAGUCAGGGAAGGCUUCACAAUACAGGUGGCCCCUGAGCAGCUAUGAAGAUUGGGCAGGGCUCUGCCAGAGAAUGAUAGAGGGCUUCAGGAUUCAAAACUUUGAUGAUGGAACAGAUCUGUGAAUGGAGGUGUCAAUGGAUUAACAUGUGUAUUCCCAGAGCCUAUGCAGCCCUUGACUUGGAUGACCAAGUGAAUGAAUAAUAAAUCUGAAGUCCAAGUUAAGCAAAUGCAAAGCCUGGAAGUGUGUGGGAGGCUGCCUGGGGUCCAAAGCUGACAGGAGCAAGCAAACAAGCCUCUGAAAAUUACCCAGAUGUGUCACAUGCCUCAGGGAGGACCCUGUUUUCAACUGAGACCAUUAACGCAUUUAUGGCUAACACAAGGACAUUGAUUGCCUGCCACAUGCAAGAUUGGGUCCAGGUGCUGAAGAAACACAGAUGUGCUGCAUCCUUGACUUUAAGGAGCAUCCCUGGGUUGGAGGGAUUCUCUGCAGGCUGCUGUGGUGGAGGGAAGAUUUGCCCAACUUACUCUUGGCGCUGGACCCCCUGAGCCAUCUUCACACACCCAGGUGAACUUUGGGAAGGUAACAGCUUUUCAGUUGCAAACCCAAGUGAAUUAGAGCAAAACAGAUCCCACGUGCUUGACACAUGGAAACUUUCAGAGCCAAUGGUUUAUAAACUUACCAAGAGCUGGGGGAGUAAACACAUCCCAGGGAACUGUGGAGCACUUCUCUGGCAUUGAUACACAUAAGCAGAAAGCACAGCCUUCCCCGACACUUGCCUUAAGAUAGUCUUUUGUCUUAGAACCCAGAGGCUUACCUGAGCUAAACCACAUAAAGUGCUUAGUGCGAUGCCUUGAACAUACCAAGCUCUUAAUAAACGCUAAGGUCACUAUUAGCAUUGCUUGUCAUGGAAUAAACCUAGGAUACAUCUAUAAAACUGUCCAUAAUCUUCCUUGCCUUGUGGAAAGUUGUUCCACUAUUCCAACAUCCUUUUAGGGGUUCUCAGCUAAUCUACCUUUCAAAACGAAAAUUUAUUAUACACUUCUUAAGUGCUAGGUAGUUUUGUAUAUUUAUGUGUAUUAUCUCAUUAAAUGAUCUCUCAGCCCUCUGAGAAAAGCACUAUUAUCAUCCAUAUUUCACAGAUGAAGAAAUCGUCAGAGUUUCCAUAUAUCAUUGUCAGAGAUGUUAAGCAACUUGCUUAAGGUUACACAGCCUUAGCAGAAGUACUUGUUUGACUCCAAAGCCUACCAUUAUGCUGGAAUCACUAGAAUCCAGGUGGCCUAUCUGAACCCGGAUUCAGGCAUCUGAAGCUGAAUAGCUGCCAUUCUUGCUUUUAACCUCCUGGUAAAAGCAGGCUAUGCCUGAUCUAUCUAUCUAUCUAUCUAUCUAUCUAUCUAUCUAUCUAUCUAUCUAUCAAUCAUCUAUCUAUCUGUCUAUCUAUCUAUCUAUCAUGGCCUGGCUAUGCCACAUCUAUAUUCCAUGAUGUCCACUGACCAGAGGGUUUCCCUUAUCCAAUCCAUACAUGUGCCAAUAAACAAACAUUUAGUGAGCACCAACAUAGUUGCUUCUCUCCUAUAAUCAACACAGGAAUGGUUAAGUUUGGAAUAAAUUACUUUUCCUAACACUUGCAUAGGACUGGACUGUUUGCUUUCAAAUACUUGGUUUUGCUUCAUGCUCACAACUCUGGGAUAUAGGAAUGAUUAUUUUCAUUUCACAGCUGCAAGAACCAAGCUCAAAGAGGAACUGCUGCUUGCCAAAGUUUCACAGAUAGAAAUGGGGGAGCUGGGGCCAGAACCCAGCUCUGCUGACACCAAGCCCAGAGUUUGUACCAUGACACUGGGCUGCUCCCUCGGAGCUGGGUUUGGCUGAUGACCUCAACUCUGAGCACCCGUUGCCUCCCACUGUUCCGUUCAGGCCUGUGCGAGAAAGACUCCCAGGCCCCUGGGUUCUCCAUAGCCCACACUUCCACUCGGCUCCGCUUCUCUUGCCCAGCUGUCUCUCCUCCAAGGAGCGGACAGGGCGGACACGAGACCCGGGUGCCCUUUUGUCCUCUAUUCCAGCUCUGGGCGGAUCCUCCUCCCAUGAUGUGGAUGAUGCUGAGGAGAAAGUGGUAAGGCUUUUAGGAGGAACACUCCUGAUUCACGGAAAUGAAAAUAGCUGCUGGGUUGUUGCUGAAACUCUGUCCCCAUGGUGGGCUUUCUAUUAGCAGGGAAGGGGUCAGGCUGGCGCUCUGGUUGCUGGAGGGCGUCAGAGGGACAACUGAGUGUACCCCAGAGUCAGGCACCCUGCGGUCUCCCAGGCCGGGGCCUGAGCCUUGCUAGGAGGGCGGACAGCCAGGGCCGGCGCUAGUUUUCUUGGGCGUGGUGGAGGACGCCUUCCACCAAACGAAGUUGCCGAGAGGAGUCAGAUCUGCUCUCACCUUUUGGGCUUUUGGGGAACCCAGGCAGAAAAAUCUCAGUGAGGCACAGGAAGGAAAAUUUUGCAAAAUGUGCUGCUGCCGCUCCUCAGCAGAGUAUAGUGGGCGGUUUGAAGCUGUUUUCUUGGUGUUCAAGUGGCUGGGGCCCUGGCGACCCCGGUCAGCCUUUCUGGGGCAGCCCGGGUGGGUCUGAAAGCCAGGGCUCCCCUCCGUGUGUGGGAGCAGAGCCCAAGCUGCGGAAACCACCGGGCGCGGGGUUGUUUUUGGAAGGCUCCGACGCCGAUCAGCCAAACUGAUAUCCCUUAUAUUGUGUGAAAACAUUGGCUCCCACGCUGGGACUCCAGUGUUUCCGCCUAGAGCAGAUUUUGCCUUUGGGAAGGUGGUGGUGUUCCUGGGAUGAGGGGCCCUCCUCUUACCGGACACGCAGGAGAGCAGCCCACAUGGAAGUGAGGGCCUCAGCCUUCGUGCUCCCUCAGACGGUCCUCCCUCUCGGCUGCCCAGGGGAGCCAAAGACAUUUUUUAGAUGUCCCAGUGUCUUGCAGUGCCGCGGGCAGCACUCCAGGACCCUCUUUGUUGGUGUAGCUGCUCACAAGCCAACCUUCCUGAUGGGGAGCUUCCUGAAGGCCUCCCUCUCCACUCCUCUCCCCACAUCCCAGGCCCAAAGUCCAGUCCUAAGAGAAAAAAAGCCACCCAGAAACUUUGUAGGGGCACCUAGGACGGCUGAGACCACUGGCAUUGGACCCCAGUAAAAGUCACAGACACAGAUCACUGGGAGGGCUCCUCCCUGAGGCCUUUAUCUCACUUAGAAUCUCAGCACAGAAUGUUCUAGCUGGUGUUUCUUGAGCAUAAACCUUUAUUCCAAUUGCAGUGGCUCUGAUAGAAAAAACAGGGCACAUUUCAUCAUACUUCUACCCUAAUCAAAUGGCUCUCAUGCCAAAGCUCCCUACGUUUCUAAUUUGCCCUAUUUGGAUGGCGUUGGAGGUGGGGCCGGACAGCGAGAAUUACAGAGGGAAUGAAUAAGACCAUUUGCUCUUUUCUCGGAUGGACAAUUUGGGCCUGUUCUCUUGAAAACCAGUGUAGGCAUUUCAUCCUCGGGGGGAGACAGGAUGGAUAGGAGGGGAAAUUUUCUGUCUUAAUAUAAGUGCUCUGUCUGGGGGAAUAUUGUGGCUUCAAGGAAAAUACAAAAUGAAAGUUGCAGGGGAAGGGGGUCGUGUGAGGCUGGGUGGAGCCCUGCUGCAGGCUGAACCCUGGAGUCCCUCUGUCACCUUCACUCCUAAGAUGCUCUGGAUGGAGUCAGUGUUUAUUAGCACAUCCAAAAAGCCCCACAAGAACCACCCAGGUUGCUAACUUUCCUGGAGGCUGGAGAGUGCUGGUAAAGAUGAGAGAUCACACCUCCCUCCUCCUCCUGCUCUGUCCUCCCCUCCCCUUCUUCACAUCCACCUCUGGCCUUCUCUUUGUCAUCCUUGUUUCAUUUCCCCUGUUUGGGAGAAGCAGAAAGCCGUGGUUUCCUGCCGGCCCACCUGUCCUCCACAUCUCCAGGUUUAUUUGGUUCUUACUCCAUUUACUUAGUCUUUCUGCCCCACCCUCUUCUCUGCAGGUCCCACGGCCCCAGUCACCUUUGGUC
rnacentral:lncRNA from 1 species